UACGGAAGGCAGCAGUGGGGAAUAUUGCACAAUGGGCGCAAGCCUGAUGCAGCCAUGCCGCGUGUAUGAAGAAGGCCUUCGGGUUGUAAAGUACUUUCAGUCGUGAGGAAGGUGUUAAGGUUAAUAACCUUAGCAAUUGACGUUAGCGACAGAAGAAGCACCGGCUAACUCCGUGCCAGCAGCCGCGGUAAUACGGAGGGUGCGAGCGUUAAUCGGAAUUACUGGGCGUAAAGGGCACGCAGGCGGUUAAUUAAGUUGGAUGUGAAAUCCCCGGGCUUAACCUGGGAAUGGCAUUCAAGACUGGUUAGCUAGAGUCUUGUAGAGGGGGUAGAAUUCCAUGUGUAGCGGUGAAAUGCGUAGAGAUGUGGAGGAAUACCGGGUGGCGAAGGCGGCCCCUGGGACAAAGACUGACGCUCAUGUGCGAAAGCGUGGGGAGCGAAACAGGGAUUAGAUAC
rnacentral:rRNA from 1 species